AUUCAGCUGAUGAGUCUCAAAUAGGACGAAAUGUGCACCCUGAAU
rnacentral:hammerhead_ribozyme from 1 species